UUUAAAGGCCACAGCCCACAUGUGUGCUCUUUACGCAGAGCCUCCUUCAAAGCAAAGAUAGACUUCAUGUUUUCUCUUCCCACUCGGGACCUCCAGGGGACGACAGCUCCAUAGCCAUGCUCUCUGCCUACUUAUGGAUUCUGUGAGUACUCCCCCAUUGCAAAUCCUGGAGGAUUUAAUAUCCACUCUGUAAUCUACUGGCACCAACAGGCAUUAUCUAACUAAACCUUAAAUUGAAAAUGCUAGUCUUUCCAUUCUCCCCAAGCCGUUGCGAAAAAGUUGGGCUCUCGUAGUCCGAUGUAAUUUACUCUGGCUCUAAUUAAAAUAUGCCACUCAGCUGCAACUGGAAGGAUGCUCAGCAGUGCUGUGGGCAUACAGGGGCCACACAGCCCCCGGCUCUGCUCCCGCUGCUGCCCCAUGCAUGAGCAGCUCUGCACACCUCUGCUUUGCCCUGGCUCACAUUUGGACUCCCAACCCAUUCCCAGUAAUGGUCAGCAGGGAAACUUCAGCUUCAGGUGUCUGCAGGAGCACUCUGCACUCAGGGCAGGCACGGGGAAACUGAGAUAGGCAUUCAGGGCAGACUGAGAGAGGCUGAUGAAGCACAUUUCUCACCUGGACCUUUCUGGAUCAUCGUGUGUUUCCAAGGAAAAGAAACAAAUUCCCAUGCUUCCUCCUCUCUCUCAUUCACCAUUAUCCAUUUUGGCUAAAUUGCCAAAGUCUAAACACAGGCCUGAAAUAUUCAAUUAUGACUUCCAAAUUAUUAGAAAAAAAAAUAAAACUAAAAGCCUCCUUCCCAACUAAGGCUGUAGUCAGUAUCAGCUUUCCAAAUGAGUAGGGUAUAAAUCCUGCUUUGCAGUUACCAAUCCCCACUGACACGCAGUGAAUGGGGAAGGCAGACUUUUGGAGGGCAGCCACUCAGGAGAUGCAAAAGCAAAGAUGGAAUUGCAGAGCAGCUCCACCUGGUUCAGCAACCCAUCUGACAGUGCCAGAUGCUUCAAGGAAGAUGUCAGUAGACAGAUGUGGGAUAAACUGUGUUUAGGGAGAGCUGUUUCCUCCUGACCCCGCAAGUUUGCACUUAGCGUAUGUCCUUAAUUAAUAACCUUUUUGGCAUUUUCAUAUCCUGCUAGUUCCACAUCUGAUGUGGCUCCCUGUUGUGCGACAGAUGAGCAUCGGGAUCCCUGGCAUGUUUAUUUCCCAGCGCUGGUAGCAAAUGUGAAUCCCCAUUUCCGAGACUACAGGGAACAAAACCACAGAGCAGAGAAAUGAUUGAUCCCCGUUUGAGCCUCUCUAGAUGAUCCACACCCAUCACACAGAAAAGCCAACGUGUAAAUCUAUAGGUGUGAGGGGAGACGUCAGUGACAAAGACCACAGAGGCAGGAGGAAUUCCCAGCGCACUGCACAGGGACCUGAGUUACCCACAAGCUGAGAGCUUCAGUGUGCUGCUGUCUUCACGUGGAAGACAGAGCCAAAGGGAACAGGAUCCAUUCACACAUGAGCUGUCUCCUACGUUUGCACAACAUGAAGAACGCAACCUUGAAGCAAAACUGGAGCAAAUGCAGCUGUCGCUUCACAGCACAGAUAAAUGAUGGGCUCCCAGAGAAGCCAAGCUAUGCUUGGGAAGAGCAGGCUCUGGGAUGCAGCCACGGAGACAUCAGUUCCAUAAUCGAUGCAAGGCACUUGGCACGAUGUCCUCUCAGCUGGAUUUUUGAGCUGGGUGCUGGCCAAUCCUUAUAGCUGCAAGCGUGUUCACGGGGAUGUGGCCAUAAAUCACAAAGUUCCCAGCACAGCAGCAGGUUGAGUUGCAACGACCACACCAACUGCCACCAGCGCUCAGCAAAGAGCAUUGGGAAAUAUCCCCCAAAGCAUAAGCGUGAUGAAUAGGAGGGGAAAAUGCCUGAACAAGCUUUGAGAGCAAACCAUGUUCAUCCCUAUAGACAAUGCUUUCCAUCCUCUGGUGCCAAAGAAAGCACUGCUGACAGAGCAGAGCUCAGGGGUUCUGUCCGUGGUACCCACACAAUGCAAAGGUGCACCAGCAGUGGGUAGGGCAGGCUGUAGGCAACAGAUCAGCCCCCUCCCCUUCAAAAAUAGCUUUCUGAUCCAAAGCUUUCCAGCUUUUUUUUGUUGUUUUGUUUUUCAGAAGUCUAAGCUGCUUAGAUGUUUUGCAAGAAAGCAGAAGACGCGGUAUUAAAUCAGCUUUGAGAAAGUCCCAGUAUACCCAUUUUCC
ensembl:lncRNA